rnacentral:rRNA from 1 species
GAUGAACGCUGGCGGCGUGCCUAAUACAUGCAGGUCGAGCGAACAGACGAGGAGCUUGCUCCUCUGACGUUAGCGGCGGACGGGUGAGUCACACGUGGAUAACCUACCUAUAAGACUGGGAUAACUUCGGGAAACCGGAGCUAAUACCGGAUAAUCUAUUGAACCGCGUGGUUCAAUAGUGAAAGUCGGUUUUGCUGUCACUUAUAGAUGGAUCCGCGCCGCAUUAGCUAGUUGGUAAGGUAACGGCUUACCAAGGCGACGAUGCGUAGCCGACCUGAGAGGGUGAUCGGCCACAUUGGAAGUGAGACGCGGUCCAGACUACUACGGGAGGCAGCAGUAGGGAAUCUUCGGCAGUGGGCGAAAGCCUGACGGAGUAACGCCGAGUGAGUGAUGAAGGUCUUCGGAUCGUAAAACUCUGUUAUUAGGGAAGAACAAAUGUGUAAGGAACUAAGCACGUCUUGACGGUACCUAAUCAGAAAGCCACGGCUAACUACGUG